GAUGAACGCUGGCGGCGUGCCUAAUACAUGCAAGUCGAGCGAACAGACGAGGAGCUUGCUCCUUCGACGUUACCGGCGGACGGGUGAGUAACACGUAGGUAACCUACCUAUAAGACUGGGAUAACUUCGGGAAACCGGAGCUAAUACCGGAUAAUAUUUCGAACCGCAUGGUUCGAUAGUGAAAGAUGGCUUUGCUAUCACUUAUAGAUGGACCUGCGCCGUAUUAGCUAGUUGGUAAGGUAACGGCUUACCAAGGCAACGAUACGUAGCCGACCUGAGAGGGUGAUCGGCCACACUGGAACUGAGACACGGUCCAGACUCCUACGGGAGGCAGCAGUAGGGAAUCUUCCGCAAUGGGCGAAAGCCUGACGGAGCAACGCCGCGUGAGUGAUGAAGGUCUUCGGAUCGUAAAACUCUGUUAUUAGGGAAGAACAAACGUGUAAGUAACUGUGCACGUCUUGACGGUACCUAAUCAGAAAGCCACGGCUAACUACGUG
rnacentral:rRNA from 1 species